rnacentral:piRNA from 1 species
UGGGCUUGGGAAAGAGGAGCCUCAAGCUC